rnacentral:tRNA from 1 species
GGAUCGUCAAGUGGUUAAGACACCAGCCUCAUAAACUGGUUAUCAUGGGUUCGAAUCCCACUCCC